rnacentral:rRNA from 1 species
ACGAACGCUGGCGGCGUGCUUAACACAUGCAAGUCGAACGGAAAGGCCCUGCUUUUGUGGGGUGCUCGAGUGGCGAACGGGUGAGUAACACGUGAGAAACCUGCCCUUGACUUUGGGAUAACUUCAGGAAACUGGGGCUAAUACCGGAUAGGAGCUCCUGCUGCAUGGUGGGGGUUGGAAAGUUUCGGCGGUUGGGGAUGGACUCGCGGCUUAUCAGCUUGUUGGUGGGGUAGUGGCUUACCAAGGCUUUGACGGGUAGCCGGCCUGAGAGGGUGACCGGCCACAUUGGGACUGAGAUACGGCCCAGACUCCUACGGGAGGCAGCAGUGGGGAAUAUUGCACAAUGGGCGGAAGCCUGAUGCAGCAACGCCGCGUGCGGGAUGACGGCCUUCGGGUUGUAAACCGCUUUCGCCUGUGACGAAGCGUGAGUGACGGUAAUGGGUAAAGAAGCACCGGCUAACUACGUG